rnacentral:tRNA from 4 species
GGGGUCGUAGUUCAGUUGGUUAGAACGCCGGCCUGUCAAGCCGGAGGUCGCGAGUUCGAGUCUCGUCGGCCCCGCCA